rnacentral:lncRNA from 1 species
UGUACAAUGAUCCUAGAGAUCAAUGCUCAGUGAACAAACAGAAACUAAAUAACAAGAGUCUUACAUACAUACAUACCGUUUAGCUCGGAUAUGGACAUUAUGGCAAAGUCUUCAUAUACAUCGCAACGGAAAUCUUCAAGGAUAGCGUGAACCCAUGCCAUCUGCCUUAACCCUACACACAUUCUUACUGGGAAGCGUCCUAGCUCGCAGGAACGUCACCAAGGUAUUCUUCACCACCUCCAAUUCUCUCUUACCUAGUCAAUAAAAUAACCAUUGACAAUCCAAUGAGUACUUUGAAUGUACUCGCAAGCAACCCAUGUUGGAACGAGGCAAUAAUAAUGCAGGAUAUAACAUGAAGUAGGUAAUUUAGCGGAAAGCUAAUUUUGGGUGCAAUGUCAUGAUCAAUCAGCUUGUAAGAACAUGGAUUAACAGGUAAACGAUAUCAAUACGAUCAGGUUAUAGAUAUCAAUGUCAACACAGGGUCGAACAUCCCAUGUUCACCCAUCAUGUCAAUUUGUCUAACUUAGCUCAUCAUUCAUACUACCACCAUACCCUCACACACACAAACACACUUGGUUUGUAAGAAAACUCCUGGACGUAGUUUAAGUAGCACCAUCCAACUGUCCUUGACCGUGGACACGGCUAGUCGAUUAGUUUUACACUCUGCAGAGGUUGCACACUUUACCCACAAGAUUCGGGAAACUUCUAUGUCAGCACAUGACUAGCGGUAUUUAUCAUACCAGAGGUAAGUACCCGAACAUCACCUUUCCCAUGAUGAUACUAGCAAAGAGUCCACUCAUUGGUCACAGUCCCUCAUGUUGUACCUCACGUGUAUCAUCCAUGAUGGCACGCAACGGUGUACCCAGUGUCUAUAGAAACAGCCCAUGGUCGCCCUUUAUGCUGCCAUGACCCCGUCUCGAGGGUGACCACGUCACUCCUUCCACUUGUAAUGUGGGAUCUCAACUAGCACAAGCCAUAGUAACCAGCAAAGCCCCGUCGCAUAAGGAGUAUUGUGGUUGUACAUGUAAGGUUGGGACGGUCGACAAAUCUUAAAUCUAAUCCGAGUUUCUUUAGAAAACCACUCACACAACUGGCCUCUGUAUACCACUCCCACAUCAGGUGGUUACCUAGCUCAACACAUCACCCUCGGGCAUUAGUGGAACCCGACAUGGUUUUCGCAAAACAUUUGAAAUCACCUCUUUUUACCGUCUCCAUGAAUGUACCCAAUCCCAUGCGUAGCACUACCAGCAACCUAACUACUUCCCACCCGCACAACCCUCAUAGGAAGGUAGGGUCAUUCCCACGUGCAAGUAGCAACGAGGAGCUUCCGGAGACAACCCACUAAGGUGGUCACCGACUCAACAUGAUUCAAUGCAUCAAAACAACGUACUAAAUGACAUCAAUAAAAGGAGUUUCUCAGACAUAGUCAAAGGGAUGCUUGCCUGGUUUAGCAAAGUCUUUGAGGUCUUCAUGAGCUCCUUGUGUACUCCGAGCAGCUCGUUUAUUUCGUCAACUAUCGUCAGAAACAACCACGAUAAGCCACGUCGCAAGCAAAAACACAAAUUGUUCAAUAAAUAGGAGUCUUAUUUUUCUUGGACAUCUCUGGUCAUAAGAAAAAUCUCUAAAGCUUUUUUUGAGAGAUUUGGACAACUAGAGAAUUUUGAAUGGUGGAAAAGGAGGGAAUGGGUGAUCCUACGAGAAGUCUACAUAUUUUUUUAAUAAAAAGGGUGGAUGUGCCUAUCAAUUAGGGAAUGAUUUUAAAAACAGGUAGGAAGUGGUUUCAUAGGAUUUGGAGUUGGUAUGAAUUACCUAUGAAUUUACUAAUGUUGAUUAAAUGGAAAUAGGUGCUAUGAAUUUGGCCUAGAGAAACAAUGUAUGAGGAAAAUGUUCCCCUAGGCUCGAAAAAUAGAGAAUGAUUUUAGAGUCAUCUAGAAAUUGGAAUCACACCAUUUGGAGUUGAUUUGCAUGUUAUACGAAUUUUGCAAGGAGGGGUUUGAAUAGAUAAAAUUCAAUUUUGGUUUUAAUCCCUACAGGAAAGGUAUGUGGAAAAUGUGCAAUGCGCAUAUUUGGAUAGGUAGUGAUUUUAGAAACUCCUAGAAAUUUGAAUAUGUUGAUUUGGAGCUCAUAUGAUUUAAUUAUGAAUUAUAUGAGCUUUAAAAAGAAAAAGAGGAAAGGGGGUUAUACCAGAGAGGCUAUAAUGCGCCCAGGGCGCGUGUUAAUCAGAUGGGCCGGCCGAGCGGCUUGGCCACCCGGGCAGACCAGCCUUGUCGAAGGCGCUUCCAUGGGAUGCGAUUCUCCAGUGGGGAGGCAGGACACGCGAUGGGGUGCCUCCACUUACUCGGGGCGGGGCCACCCGUCGGUGCCUCGGCCUCUGGCCGACAGGCGGGGCCCGCCCGCCCCUUUCUCUCUCUCCUCUUACCCCUUCUUCUACCUCACGUCACGGGCAUAGAGGGCCAUCGGCCGUCGCUGUUCUGGCCACCCCGCUGUGGCGGGCGCUGAGUCGAUGGUCCGGGCGGAUGCCCCAAUCCAUGCCGCGACCGGGGAUGGUCGUGUGAGCCACAGAGACGCCCAAAGUGAGGGGGCCAACAUCAGGGGCGGACGGCGAUGCUGACGUCUCGUGGGGGCACGGUUCAGUCACGGGAAUGGAGCCUUAGUGAUUCCGGGAGCUUCCCCUGCUGACGGCGUCCCUCUGGAGCUCUCAGUCGAGGUGAGGGAGGGUCGGUUGGCUCGGAUGCGAGGGUGGCCGCGUCGACACCAUGGCGGCCGCAGGAAGAGGGAGAUGGCUCGGGGGCUCACAGUGGAGGCCCGAGAGGUCUACUGGAGGGAGGGUUGAGCGCAGGGGCAGCAAGGGGGGUCGAGGGC